UACGUAGGGUGCAAGCAUUAAUCGGAAUUACUGGGCGUAAAGCGUGCGCAGGCGGUGAUGUAAGACAGAUGUGAAAUCCCCGGGCUCAACCUGGGAACUGCAUUUGUGACUGCAUCGCUGGAGUACGGCAGAGGGGGAUGGAAUUCCGCGUGUAGCAGUGAAAUGCGUAGAUAUGCGGAGGAACACCGAUGGCGAAGGCAAUCCCCUGGGCCUGUACUGACGCUCAUGCACGAAAGCGUGGGGAGCAAACAGG
rnacentral:rRNA from 1 species